AUCGCGAAUAGUGCAUUUGUUCUGUAAUAUAUUUUAGGUACCUACAUUUAUUUUACUACUAAUAAAAGUCAAUGUUUGUGAAUCAUGUAUAUUGUAUAAUGUUGGUAAUUUUUAAAAUAACUUAAUAUUCCCUAACUAUUAUUCAAUUUUAAAAUGCAUUUGGCAUAUUUUUAUGAACACUAAACAUCCAAAAACAUAAUCAAAAAACGUAUGUUUAUACAUUUACCAUAUACAUAAGUAGACUAGAUUUUUGUCUGUCGCCAGAUUACAUUGUAUGAAUAUUGGUAAGAUUAUGACUAUGCAUUCAAUUUACAAAUUAACCUUUAAUGCAAUAUCAAUAGUUGUGAUAGAACCAUUAAUCUGGUUAAUAUCAGCAACACACAGUAAUAUUAAAUGGCCCUUUCCAACUUGAUUCUUGGGUUCAGUAAAAUUGGGUAUAACACAUAAAAACAAGUAGGUAAAGAAUAAGUCUUCUAUAAUGAAACUGAUUAUUGCGGGGAUAAAACAGCAGAUAAACAAAAACUAUUUCCGAAUAUACAUUUCCAUGUAUGACUAAGAAGACAGCAAUUUAAUUUUUCCCACAUACAUCAAUAAGAAGAAACUAGAAUCAUUACUACUGAACAGUCAAACCAAAAAUAAUCAAAUAAAACAAUAAAAAGUUGAUAAUACAGUUAAAUAAUAAUACAUAGAUAAAGAUAAUUUGUCAUGAUUCAUCUAGAAUUUGUUAUACAAAUGAAUUGAACUAUUAAAAAACAGCAAAUGAGUUACUUAAAAAUAUGAUAAAAAUGAAAUCUGUUCAAGGAUAUUCAACUAAAUUAUAAUUCAAUGGAGGAUAAUUAUCUAUAUAUUUUACGAUAUAUAAACAAAUUUAUUGUUACCACUUUUCAAUCAUCAUUCAGCAAAUAAUAAAAACUUUGCUUCAACAAUGGUUAAUUACAAUCCACAUAGUUAAUUAAUUCCACACUUAAUUAUAUUAUAUUAGACAUGCAAAUGGCUCAAAAACUGAAGUGAAAAGACUAAUUAAAAACAAAUUGAGUCAAGCAAAAUAACUUAUAAAAAACUAAAAUUAUUGGUUAAGUAGACACAAGUAUAGUGGAAUAAUGUAUUUUUUUUUACUUUUUUUUUCACUUAAAUAAUUUAAUUACAAUAAACAUUUAAG